UACGUAGGGGGCAAGCGUUGUCCGGAAUCAUUGGGCGUAAAGAGCGCGUAGGCGGUCCGGUAAGUCCGCUCUGAAAGUCCGGGGCUCAACCCCGGGAGGCGGGCGGAUACUGUCGGGCUAGAGUCCGGAAGAGGCGAGUGGAAUUCCUGGUGUAGCGGUGAAAUGCGCAGAUAUCAGGAGGAACACCUAUGGCGAAGGCAGCUCUCUGGGACGGUACUGACGCUGAGACGCGAAAGCGUGGGGAGCGAACAGG
rnacentral:rRNA from 1 species